rnacentral:rRNA from 1 species
UACGUAGGGGGCAAGCGUUGUCCGGAAUCAUUGGGCGUAAAGCGCGUGUAGGCGGGUCGGUAAGUCCGCUCUGAAAGCCCGGGGCUCAACCCCGGGAGGCGGGUGGAUACUGUCGAGCUCGAGUCCGGAAGAGGCGAGUGGAAUUCCUGGUGUAGCGGUGAAAUGCGCAGAUAUCAGGAGGAACACCAAUGGCGAAGGCAGCUCGCUGGGACGGUACUGACGCUGAGACGCGAAAGCGUGGGGAGCGAACAGG